rfam:Hordeum vulgare subsp. vulgare, WGS project CAJW01000000 data, contig: morex_contig_39398
AAACUGCCCGUGAUGGUGUUAAAUAUACUUUGCAGCUUAUUGCUAUGAAAAUUACCUACAGUCUGAGGCACUUC